AUUGAACGCUGGCGGCAGGCCUAACACAUGCAAGUCGAACGGUAACAGGAAGAAGCUUGCUUCUUUGCUGACGAGUGGCGGACGGGUGUGUAAUGUCUGGGAAACUGCCUUAUGGAGGGGGAUAACUACUGGAAACGGUAGCAAAUACCGCAUAACGUCGCAAGACCAAAGAGGGGGACCUUCGGGCCUCUUGCCAUCGGAUGUGCCCAGAUGGGAUUAGCUAGUAGGUGGGGUAACGGCUCACCUAGGCGACGAUCCCUAGCUGGUCUGAGAGGAUGACCAGCCACACUGGAACUGAGACACGGUCCAGACUCCUACGGGAGGCAGCAGUGGGGAAUAUUGCGCAAUGGGCGCAAGCCUGAUGCAGCCAUGCCGCGUGUAUGAAGAAGGCCUUCGGGUUGUAAAGUACUUUCAGCGGGGAGGAAGGGAGUAAAGUUAAUACCUGUGCUCAUUGACGUUACCCGCAGAAGAAGCCCCGGCUAACUCCGUG
rnacentral:rRNA from 1 species